rnacentral:rRNA from 1 species
GACGAACGCUGGCGGCGUGCCUAAUACAUGCAAGUAGAACGCACAGUUUAUACCGUAGCUUGCUACACCAUAAACUGUGAGUUGCGAACGGGUGAGUAACGCGUAGGUAACCUGCCUGGUAGCGGGGGAUAACUAUUGGAAACGUUAGCUAAUACCGCAUAAUAUUAAUUAUUGCAUGAUAAUUGAUUGAUAGAUGCAAUUGCAUCACUACCAGAUGGACCUGCGUUGUAUUAGCUAGUAGGUGAGGUAACGGCUCACCUAGGCGACGAUACAUAGCCGACCUGGGGGGGUGGUCGGCCACACUGGGAAUGAGACACGGCCCAGGCUCCUACGGGGGGCAGCAGGAGGGGAACUUCGGCAAUGGGGGAAAGUCUGGCCGAAGAAAGCCGCGUGGGUGAAGGAGGGUUUCGGAUCGUAAAACUCUGUUGUAAGAGAAGAACGGGUGGGAGAGUGGAAAGUUCACGCUGUGACGGUAUCUUACCAGAAAGGGACGGCUAACUACGUG